rnacentral:tRNA from 1 species
GCCUGGGUGGCUCAGUCAGUUAAGCAUCUGACUUCGGCUCAGGUCAUGAUCUCACAGCUUGUGGGUUUGAGCCCCACGUCAGGCU